ensembl:snRNA U6 U6 spliceosomal RNA
GUGUUCACUUUGGAAUCACAUAGACUCAAACUGAAGCGAUACAGUGAAGAUUAGAAUAUCCAUCCCCUGUGCAAGAAUGACAAAUUUGUAAAACAUUUUCUAUUUUU